UUAAAAUACUGUUGAUUGUUGUUCAUUUAAAUACUUUUAUUAUUUAAAGUUGUGACCAUUAUUUUUUAUAAUUAUUUAUGUGCCAUUCUUACUGAUGGAUUGCUGUAUGAAGACUGCUGUUCAUAUUGUUGUGAGAAGUUUAAUGGAUAUAUGUUGGCAGUUGUUGAGAAAUUUAUAAAUUCUGCUUUUUUG